rnacentral:rRNA from 1 species
UGCCUACGGGGGGCUGCAGUGGGGAAUCUUAGACAAUGGGCGCAAGCCUGAUCUAGCCAUGCCGCGUGAGCGAUGAAGGCCUUAGGGUUGUAAAGCUCUUUCGUGGGGGAAGAUAAUGACUGUACCCCAAGAAGAAGCCCCGGCUAACUCCGUGCCAGCAGCCGCGGUAAUACGGAGGGGGCUAGCGUUGUUCGGAAUUACUGGGCGUAAAGCGCACGUAGGCGGACUGGAAAGUCAGGGGUGAAAUCCCGGGGCUCAACCCCGGAACUGCCUUUGAAACUCCCAGUCUUGAGUUCGAGAGAGGUGAGUGGAAUUCCGAGUGUAGAGGUGAAAUUCGUAGAUAUUCGGAGGAACACCAGUGGCGAAGGCGGCUCACUGGCUCGAUACUGACGCUGAGGUGCGAAAGCGUGGGGAGCAAACAGGAUUAGAUACCCCUGUAGUCAA